rnacentral:rRNA from 1 species
ACGGAGGGUGCGAGCGUUAAUCGGAAUCACUGGGCGUAAAGAGCAUGUAGGCGGCUAGUUAAGUCUAGCGUGAAAAUGCGGGGCUCAACCCCGUAUGGCGCUGGAAACUGAAUAGCUUGAGUGCAGGAGAGGAAAGGGGAAUUCCCAGUGUAGCGGUGAAAUGCGUAGAAAUUGGGAGGAACACCAGUGGCGAAGGCGCCUUUCUGGACUGUGUCUGACGCUGAGAGGCGAAAGCCAGGGUAGCGAACGG